rnacentral:rRNA from 1 species
UGGGGAAUUUUAGACAAUGGGCGCAAGCCUAAUCCAGCAAAGCCGCGUGAGUGAUGAAGGCCUUCGGGUUGUAAAGCUCUUUUGUCAGGGAAGAAACGGUGAGGGCUAAUAUCCCUUGCUAAUGACGGUACCUGAAGAAUAAGCCCCGGCUAAUUACGUG